ensembl:lncRNA
GAACAAAGACAGCGAGUGAGGCACCCAUUGCCCCGAGCAAGGGGGCACCAUAAGCCGUGCUUGGGAAGGCCAAAUAGAGAGCUCCAUAUAGAAAUGGGAGGGGAAGGAGCGCUCAGAGUGUUUCAUUAAUAAGUUUAAAUUAGCGUCAACAUUUAAGAAUCGAGUUUUUCCUUGAAAAGCCAGAUUACUGGUAUCAAGAGAAAACAGAAGGUCUGGCCGUUCUGGCUCUUUACUGUGAUGUAGUCGAAGGGAGGCUGAGGCAUGGGGCUGCGGCUGGAAGGCUCAAGCUUUCUUUGCCAUGGCCCCGCCUUAGCCAGCAUGUCACACAUUCACAUGGCCUGCCCAGGCCCUGGUGGCCAGAGACAGCAAAUGUAGAUGACUCCAAGGGACAAGGGCAGGUAUUGCCACAUUACAGAGAAGAAGACUGAGGCUUGUACUGGGUAGCCAUCUUGGAUCCACUGCAUAAUGCUACUUGAAUCCAUCUCAAAGGGAUUGAAGCGAUGGAAGGUCUGGCCUGCAGACACUUAUCAGCCAAGAUCAUCUGCGUAUUAAAGACAGUUACCAGCCUUGCCCUCCUACCACUUCGUAUAGCUCAUUCUCAAGCUCUAGGCCUAUUUCAAGCCACUGUCCUUCAUCCCUCCCAAGAGACCAAAAGCCACUCACUCUUUGGGGCAGUUUGCAUCACCUACUGGAAGGCCCAAUGAUGCAAAGGAGGGAAGAUGUGUUUAUGAACCACGCUGAGAAUGCUGCAGUAUACACAACCCAAACACUGUCUUAUCUUCUUCCUGAAUGACUCAAAUGGUUGUUUGGUCUUUUGUGAACCCCAGAUCUUCCUCAAUAAAGCAUCUAGCCACUGUA